rfam:Triticum aestivum genome assembly, contig: Triticum_aestivum_CS42_TGACv1_scaffold_322198_4BL
AAACUACUCCCUCCGUUCGGAAUUACUCGUCCAAGAAAUGAAUGUAUCCAGAUGUAUUUUAGUUGUAGAUACAUCUAUUUUCAUCCAUUUUUGUGACAAGUAAUUCCGAACGGAGGGAGUAGAAA